UGUGUUAGUGGAAGCGUCUGGAAAGGCGCGCGAUACAGGGUGACAGCCCCGUACACAAAAAUGCACAUAUUGUGAGCUCGAUGAGUAGGGCGGGACACGUGGUAUCCUGUCUGAAUAUGGGGGGACCAUCCUCCAAGGCUAAAUACUCCUGACUGACCGAUAGUGAACCAGUACCGUGAGGGAAAGGCGAAAAGAACCCCGGCGAGGGGAGUGAAAAAGAACCUGAAACCGUGUACGUACAAGCAGUGGGAGCACGCUUAGGCGUGUGACUGCGUACCUUUUGUAUAAUGGGUCAGCGACUUAUAUUCUGUAGCAAGGUUAACCGAAUAGGGGAGCCGAAGGGAAACCGAGUCUUAACUGGGCGUUAAGUUGCAGGGUAUAGACCCGAAACCCGGUGAUCUAGCCAUGGGCAGGUUGAAGGUUGGGUAACACUAACUGGAGGACCGAACCGACUAAUGUUGAAAAAUUAGCGGAUGACUUGUGGCUGGGGGUGAAAGGCCAAUCAAACCGGGAGAUAGCUGGUUCUCCCCGAAAGCUAUUUAGGUAGCGCCUCGUGAAUUCAUCUCCGGGGGUAGAGCACUGUUUCGGCAAGGGGGUCAUCCCGACUUACCAACCCGAUGCAAACUGCGAAUACCGGAGAAUGUUAUCACGGGAGACACACGGCGGGUGCUAACGUCCGUCGUGAAGAGGGAAACAACCCAGACCGCCAGCUAAGGUCCCAAAGUCAUGGUUAAGUGGGAAACGAUGUGGGAAGGCCCAGACAGCCAGGAUGUUGGCUUAGAAGCAGCCAUCAUUUAAAGAAAGCGUAAUAGCUCACUGGUCGAGUCGGCCUGCGCGGAAGAUGUAACGGGGCUAAACCAUG
rnacentral:rRNA from 1 species